UACGAAGGGGGCUAGCGUUGCUCGGAAUCACUGGGCGUAAAGCGCACGUAGGCGGCUUUCUAAGUUAGGGGUGAAAUCCUGGAGCUCAACUCCAGAACUGCCUUUGAUACUGGAGAGCUUGAGUCCGGGAGAGGUGAGUGGAACUCCGAGUGUAGAGGUGAAAUUCGUAGAUAUUCGGAAGAACACCAGUGGCGAAGGCGGCUCACUGGCCCGGUACUGACGCUGAGGUGCGAAAGCGUGGGGAGCAAACAGG
rnacentral:rRNA from 1 species